rnacentral:rRNA from 1 species
CCCGCAGCACAAGUGGUGGUCAUUAUUAUUGGGCCUAAAGCGUCCGUAGCUGGCUUGUUAGAUGCCUGGGUAAAUCGAUGCGCUCAACGUAUCGAACUCCGGGUAGACCGGCAAGCUUGGGACCGGGAGAGGCGUGAGCUACUCGAGGGGUAGGGGUAAAAUCCUGUAAUCCUUCGGGGAGGACCAGUGGCGAAGGCGUCACGCUAGAACGGCUCCGACAGUGAGGGACGAAGCCCUGGGGCGCAAACCGGA